GCGUAUGACAGGUUUCCUAACCUGUAACCUGAAUCGUCAAUAAUAGAGGAGUGCCGUUCAGAACGUGGUACCGAACGGACGUGUUGCGAUAGCUCUCCCUAUAACCUAGCUGUGUCAGUAAGGCGUAGUGAGGCGUGGUGGGGCGAAGGCGGCGAGUGGUGAUAAACUGAGUUGCUAAUUAAAGAAAAAAAAUAAAAUAAAAUAAAGUAGUAAAAUCUGCAUAGAACAAAAAGUGCACCAUGACAAGUGUUCCCCCGGCCGGACGGGGGAGCAGAUUCAAUCCGUAUCUUAAGGAUGACCUCAAGGAAAUUGGAAAAGGAAAGAGACUAAAAGGAUCUGCAACCAAGGAGCCGGGUACGAGCGAUAUCGUGUUGGAGACGGCAGUGGAUCUAACAUCGGAAGAAGAUGAGAGUAACAAUAUGGAGAAGGAGAGGAGUAACAAAGAGACAGAUCUAGUUUUAGGAAUAGAUAAGACAUCAGAUAGAGAAAUUAGUGAUAUAAUAGGUAUUCCGAUAACGGCUAUGGAAAGUUUCGUCCAAUCGAGCGACAAAGAGCAGGUAGGGGAAGAAAGAUACAAAGAGGUACACACGCGUAUGGAAUGUGAUGAUACGGUAGGUUCAAAACAAACAGAGGAUAGGUCAAAUAAUAAAAACAGCGGUAAAUCAGAUAAACAGGAUACAAUUUCGUAUAAUAUAGAGUCAGCUAGUACAACCGGUAUUAAUUUAAAUCAGGAAAAAUAUGUAGUAGUUGAUGGGAAUUUAAAACCUAUGAAUGAUAUCAAUAAGACUGAAUAUGAAAAACUGAUUAAAGCUUUGAGUAAUAGAAUUGAUAAAACAAUUAAAGGUGAAUGUAAAAUUAAAUGCAAAAUCGAAAAAGAAUAUUGUACCCCGAACAGGGGAAAAAACUGUGUUAAAAUAUCUUUAUGGUGCAACCAGAAUCGGGUUUGUCCAACUAGUAUAAAUAUGAUUAAAUACAAUAUUGCUAUACUUACCUUUAAAACUGCGAGCGAGGCUAAUGCUUGUUUAGACAGGAUUGAUAACCUCUCUAAUAAAUGGAUCCUGGGAUUUAUUGACUUUUCAGAUUUAUUUUACAGGGGUGUAAUUACAGAUUGGCCUUAUGAGAUUUCGGAACUAUGGGAGAAUAUUGUAGACAAACAAGAAAUUUUCAAAAUUGAGAAGAUGAAGAGGAGGGUUUGGGACAGCGACAGCAAGAAACACUUGUGGAAAUUUACCGAUAAUUUACUUGUUACAAUGAAGUAUAAAGGUAACACUGGUAGGAUAAGGGAUAGUAUAACAAUUUGUGACAGACUGCACAUAGGUCUAAAACUAAGACCCUACGUGGAACCAGUCAGGCAAUGUUUCAAUUGUUUCCAGUUUGGACACUUUAAGGCCUUUUGCAGAAACAAAACGAAAUGUAUUACAUGCGGAGACAAUAGGCAUGGAGAUUGCCACAAAUCAACAGUUUGUAGCAACUGUGAAGGAGAUCAUAGACCGACUUACAAAAGUUGUCUCGUAGCUUUAAAAAACAAGGAAAUAAAGAUAAUUAUGGCCUACAAUAACAUUUCUUUUUCAGAAGCUGCAAGGAUGAUUACAGAUAGCUGUACAGAUAGUAAAACUAUAACAUACGAUAGAUAUACGAAUCCUGCCGCGUGGCCCAGUAUGGUUGACAAUAACAUGAAUAAAGGGACGGAAGUUAAGAUUUACGAUAGAGCAUCAUCAUCAACCGAAAAUACUUUCCCUGUUAAAUGGUCCAAAACUGUGCGCCAAAAUAUAGGAAAUGUGAGAGAGAUAAAGAAGGAUGGACAUUCACGGAAGGAAUACAAUAGGAACAACAGCACAACGCCAAGUUUUCAAGAAACACAAAGACAGACUAGAAUAGAUAAAGAAAAGAUUGAAGGGCAAAAACGUAGACAAGAAUAUGUGAAUUAUUAUAAACAAUUCAAAAAUAAUACAGUAGAGAUCAGUAAAGAAAAAAGAGGGAUAGCCCUUGGUCGGACGAACGAAAUCGAGACAAGAAAAGAGAAUAAUAGUGGUUAUGAUAAUGAAGAAACUACGAGUGUCUGGUCUUCUAACUUUGACUGGUCUCUACAAAUUGCCAGAGACAAAUGUUUAGUAUCUCAUGAAUUUCGUAAGGAUUUCUUAGAACUUUUAAAAAAAUAUAGCACUAAUUCACCACCGGAGGGAGAUAACUAUGAAGAAGAUCAAACUCACUUAGUGAAUAAAAUGAGUAAGGACUUGGAUAGAUGCCAUGAGGAUUUAGAGAGAGCAAAAAGAAUAAGCAUGGACGCCAAAAGAGGAUUUCGGAUGCGACAGAGUGAGAGGGAGUCAAAUUGGUCUGAUCUGUGAUGGCGACUAUACUUUUAUGGAACGCAGGGGGUAUUAACAACAAAAAAGCAGAGUUGAUGAAAAAUGCGUUAAAUUACGACAUUGUUGUAAUUACUGAAACGAAGCUUAGUCGUAAUAAGCCUUUGUAUAUUUCAGGUUUUAAAACCUAUAAAAGCAAUAACGAAAAUAAUAGUGGAGGAGUGGCAAUACUUAUAAAAAAUGAUAUUGAGUUUAAAACAAUUGAAGAUUGGAAUAUUAGAUCUGAUAAUAUUGAGGCAAUCGCUAUUAAAACGCAAGGUACUACCAGGAACUAUAACCUUAUUGCGGUUUAUAGAAAACCAUAUGGAGUGGAACCAAUAACUGCUUGGAGCGACUUACUCAGGUUUAAGGGAGUAGAUGAGGACUCCAUCAUAGUAGGUGAUUUCAACGCACACAACAACGCAUGGAAUUGUAUCAAUACCGAUAAGAACGGGGAAAGAUUAUAUUCGACUAUGUUUCAACGGGAUUACAUUAACAUCAACGAUGAUACUAAAACCAGGAUAAACUAUUAUGGUCAGGUUGCAUCAAAUCUAGAUUUAAUUUUUACAAACAGGAAUUUAGCGGACAAAAUUAACUACCAACAACUUCCAGAUGCUUGGGGAUCGGAUCAUUACCCGGUGGACAUUUAUGUGGAUGUAAGAUGUCUUCCUUAUAGGAAACCUAAUAGAAUAACUAACAAAAAUACUAACUGGAUACUUUAUCGUGAUAAAAUAGAGACAAAAAUAACGAAAUCUCAAGAAAAUAUUAAUAACCUAUUAGAAGACAAAAGCCUGCAAGAAUUAUAUUCUUGGUUCAUUAAACUCAUGAAGAGAUAUGCACUGAUUGCAUCUGACAAGGAUCCAGACAAAAUUAAUAUGACCAGAGAGAGAAAGAUAAAUAGUAAACAUCAUAAUAACAAUAGGCAAGAAGUCAGCUGGUGGGACAAGGAUUGCGAUUUAGCCAGAAGAGAUAGGAUUGAUAAAUUAAAAAAAUGGAAACGUACGGAGGAAGUUAAGGACUUUGUCGAAUAUAAAAAAAGCCGAGCUAUUGCUAGGAAGAUUAUUAACAAAAAAAAAAAAGAGAAAACUUUAUAUCUUUUUGUAAUAGUAUUAAUAGAUUCACUAGUCUCUCAUAUGUCUGGAACACAAUGAGAACUUUUAAAAGUGUUCAAAACAAAAUUAAUUGGAAUACUUGGCAGCACAAAGAUAGAGAGACCGAGAUUAGAAAUACUAUUGCAAACCUGGCACCUCCGUGGGUCGAGGAAAAAAGAAAUAAAGAAGUUACAAUUGAAAAGCAGACGCAGAACGAGAUGAACGUUGUAUUCUCCAUGGACGAACUUCUUCGUGCCUUGAACAUGAUCAGGAAGGACUCAUCUCCUGGGAUGGACAAUGUGGACUACUCGAUGCUGAGACACUUAUCUUUGAAGGGCAAACAAGUUUUGUUGGACAAGAUCGGUAAGGAUAAAGUUAGACCGAUUGCGCUCUCUUCAUGUGUUUGCAAGUUGAUGGAAAGGAUGAUCAAUGAGAGACUUAUAUGGUGGUUGGAGAGAAAUAAUAAACUUGACCCGCUACAAAAUGGAUUCCGAAGAGGCAAGUCAUGUAUGGAGAACCUAGCGAAGAUGGUUGCGGAUAUCGAAAGUGCCAAUAUUGAUGGUGAUUACACCCUUGUAGCUUUUUUAGACGUAACAUCUGCUUACGACAACGUUAAUUUUAAUAUCAUGAUUGAGAAACUGAGAAAGGAGGGAUGUCCUCUAGGUAUACGUAACUUUAUUGACGAGUUUUUUUUACCUUUUUUUGAAAAGGUAAUUUUGUACUGAUAACUUUAACCCUUAACCUCAUAUAUCAAUUCAACCGAGGACACUUUGAAAAAAAACCUUCUUUCAUAUAUCAAAA